rnacentral:lncRNA from 1 species
AUAUGGCAACCAAAAGAGCCAGUACGAUGAGUACGGAAACCCAGUUCGUCAGACAGACGAAUAUGGUAACCCAGCCCGCCAUGGAGGUACCAUGGGUGAUUAUGGAACCACUGGCACUACUGGAGCCUAUGGUGGCACAGCUGGAGCACAUGGGACUUAUGCAACUGGAACCACCGGCACUACCGGUACCGGUGCGUAUGCCACCCAGCCUGGCACUGAUGUGGGGAAGGAGCACCAUGGCCUUGGUGGCAUGCUUCAUCGCUCUGGUAGCGGUAGCUCUAGCUCGGUAUGCCCUCCUAAUUAAUCUCGUCUUGCUUAAAUUGUACUGAGUUGUAGUAGCAUUUAACAAAUCUUGACCAGCUUGUGAUGACUGGUAAUUAAAAAGUUCUUAUCUGUUUUCUUUUUGUUUUUUCGGUUGGGAUGCAGUCCGAGGAUGAUGGGCAAGGCGGGAGGAGGAAGAAGGGGAUGAAGGAGAAGAUAAAGGAGAAACUGCCUGGCGGUCACAAGGAGGCUCGACCUGGACAAGAAUAUUCGAGUGCUACUACAGCUCCUGGAUACGGCGGGGAAGGAGAGCAGCACGAGAAGAAAGGAAUUAUGGAUAAAAUCAAGGAGAAAUUACCAGGGGGUCACAACAACUGAAGAUCUAAUUCUAAUAAUAUGGGAUCCAAUUAUGAUAUUGUGUACCCCUAUUUUCAAUCUCAAUCUCAAUCUCGUUCGUGUCAUGUUUGUGUUUUCUGAGAUUUGAGUGUGUGGACGU